UGUACUGCGUUAGGAUGGUACCCUCCCCCUGUACUGGGUUAGGAUGGUACCCUCCCCCCUGUACUGGGUUAGGAUGGUACCCUCCCCCUGUACUGGGUUAGGAUGGUACCCUCCCCUGUACUGCGUUAGGAUGGUACCCUCCCCCUGUACUGGGUUAGGAUGGUACCCUCCCCCCUGUACUGCUUUAGGAUAGUACCCUCCCCUGUACUGCGUUAGGAUGGUACCCUCCCCCCUGUACUGCGUUAGGAUGGUACCCUCCCCCUGUACUGGGUUAGGAUGGUGCCCCCCCUGUACUGCGUUAGGAUGGUACCCUCCCCCUGUACUGCGUUAGGAUGGUACCCUCCCCCCUGUACUGGGUUAGGAUGGUACCCUCCCCCCUGUACUGGGUUAGGAUGGUACCCUCCCCCCUGUACUGGGUUAAGGUUAGGUUACUCUAUGUGUUGAGUGGCAGUUUUGUUUGACAGAUUGUCAAGACUAUACGUUUUAUUCUGGUUGUGAUUUAAGACUGUACAUUUUAUUCUGGUUGUGAAGGAGGAACUCCCAUUUCUAUUUGAUGAUUAAUUAAGGUUAGAUUAUUAUUUGUCUAUUACAAUAAGGCUUGUUGAGUAUUUAGGUGUAUUACAUCGUGUUCUCUUUUAAGGGCCAUAUUCUCCUCCCUCAUGACACUAUCUAACCCCUAACCCAAUAAGGGCUUGGUGAGGGUAUCAACAUAUAUUAUUUCCAGGUGUAUGUACAGUUUAUUAGGUACACCCACCUAGUACCGGGUCGGACACCCAUUUGUCUCCAGAACAGCCUGAAUUCUUCGGGCAUGGAUUCUACAAGUCAGAAACGUUCCACGGGGAUGUUGGUCCAUGCUGACGCAAUGGCGUCACGCAGUUGCUGCAGAUUGGAUGUCGGUCCACCACCACCAGCCUGUCCCGUUGACACCAGGCAAGGAUGGGUCCAUGGACUCAUGGUGUUUAUGCCAAAUCCUGACUCUGCCGUCAGCAUGGCGCAACAGCAACAGUGUUGCUGAUCGCGUGCCCACUAGAGCCCUGUGUGGGCAUCUGUUGCAAUAGCCGUGAAGGAUCAACGAGUUGUGUGUUCCGAGAUGCCGUUCUGCACACCGCUGGUAUUGGUCUGUUUGUGGUCCGCUUGCGUGAUUCUUGCCAUUCUCCUUCCACCUCUCUCAUCAAUGAGCUGUUUUUUUUGCCCACAGGACUGCCGCUGACUGAAUGUUUUGCGUUUGUCAAACCAUUCUCGGUAAAAACCCCUAGACACUGUCGCAAGUGAAAAGCCUAGGAGGUCUGCUGUUUCUGAGAUACUGUAUCCGGCGUGCCUGGCACUGACGAUCAUUGCUUAGGUCUCUCGUUUUGCCUAUUCUAACGUUCAAUCAAGCAGUAACUGAAUGCCUAUCUGCAUGCUUUAUAUAGCAAGCAACGGCCACGUUGUUCACUGUCUGAUCCGUUUUGGAGAACUAGGUGCUGUAUCUAAUAAACUGGCUGAUGUAUAUCAAGGUCUAUCAUACCAUUGUUUUCCUCUGUAAGUGUUCUGUUCCUCUGGGGCCUGAUGACAUUCCGACAGGAACACCUGAGAUCUGACUGCUCUUUACAGUUUAUAAUACAAUUUACUACUGAAAAUGCC